GGUCUAAGAUCUAUAAAUAAAUGAUUGUUUUUGUUUUAUAAAGGAAUUAAAUUUUUUGUAUAGAAAUGAUAUGUUAGUCGUUUAGUGUAUAUCUGGUUCUUUAUGGUUAAAUUUAAUUUUAACUUAUAUAAUAAUUUGUGUAAGUGGAAUGUUCUUGGGGAUAAAGCUCAGGAAUAUAAUGUUUAAACCAGUUCAUUAUAGUUAAAAGUAGGCUUAAUAUUAGCCAUCUUAGAAGUUUAUUAUAAAUUAUAAAUUAUAAAAAUAGAUUUAUAUGGGGUGUUUAUUAUUGAUAAAUAAGGUAUUUUAUGAAAUUGUAAUUUAUAAGAGAUUAUGAUAAAAUUAGUAUAAGUGAAAGUGUUUAAGUAUGUUUUAAAGGAUUAAGUAAUAUUUUAAUUGAGGAGAUUGUGUAGUGGAUAAGGAACUCGGCAAAUAUAUCUUUUGCCUGUUUAUCAAAAACAUGUCCUUAUGAUAAUGUGUAAGGUCUAGCCUGCCCACUGAUUUAUUAAAGGGCUGCGGUAUUUCUGACCGUGCAAAGGUAGCAUAAUCAAUAGUCUUUUAAUUGAAGGCUGGAAUGAAUGGUUGGACAAGAAGAUGGCUGUCUUAUUUAUUAAAUUUGAAUUUAAUUUCUAUGUGAGAAAGCAUAGAUAAUUUAAAGGGACGAGAAGACCCUAUAAAACUUGAUAUGUAAUUCUUUUUUAGGAGAAAUAGUUAAAUUUUAGAGAAGAAUAGUUAUUUAGUUGGGGCGACUGAGAUAUAAUUAAAUAACUGUCUGUAAUAUAGAAUAAUUAUAAUUAGAAAGUGACCUUAAAUUUUAGGUUAUAAGUUGAAGUUACUUUAGGGAUAACAGC
rnacentral:rRNA from 1 species